AUGGCUGUCCUGGUGCUUCUCCUCUGCCUGGUGACAUUUCCAAGUUGUGCCCUGUCGCAGAUACAGCUGAAGGAGACAGGACCUGGCCUGGUGCAGCCAUCACAGACCCUCUCGCUCACCUGCACUGUCUCUGGAUUCUCAUUAACCAGCAAUGCUGUAAGCUGGAUCCGCCAACCUCCAGGAAAGAGUCUGGAGUGGAUGGGAAUAAUAUGGAGUGGUGGAAGUACAGAGUAUAAUUCAGCUCUCCAGUCCCGAAUCACCAUCACCAGGGACACCUCCAAGAGCCAAGUUUUCUUAAAACUAAACAGUCUGCAAACAGAAAACACAGCCACGUAUUACUGUGCCAGAUACACAGUGAGAGACCUCCAGUGUGAGCCUGCACAAAAACCUUCAUAUGGAAACACUCACGACCAGCAGGGGCGUUGGGGACCAACAGGGUCUACCAAGACCAACUCAGAAGCCACAAGCUGGGCUGCCAACCCACUAGCUCAGAGAGUUGUAGAGCUGAUAUUGCCUCUUCAUCAUGGUCUCAGAAUUGAGAACAUCCUACUACUCCAUCAACUCAAAAUGAUGGGCACAGUCACAGUCACCACUUACAUCUUCCUGUGA